CCGGCAAAAAAAAUGACUGGCCACUAAAAGCAGCUAAUUCAAAAGAAAUUUUAGUAUUUUAUCUUACCCUCACCUAAUAUUCCCUCCAAUUUCUCAAAAUAACAAAAUGAAAUUUGAAAAAUUUGGGAAUACAUCACAAAGACUCAACCUAUCUAACCGCUGCUGAAACCAUUACCGCCACUGCAAUUGAUUUCUAUCUCAUCGCCGGCAACCAAUUCCAGUUGCUAAGGUGAUUUUCUUAUAUCUAGGGUUGGAGUAGUUCCCCUUCAUUAUUUUUUGAGAAAAUCAAAUGGCCGCUCCACCUGCUCUAGCCCAUCACGACUACAGAUUAGCUCAUCAAGCUCCUUUUGAUUAGCAAUAGCAAGCAAAUGUGAUUGCCGGUGGCAGCAUUAUUAAUCUGAGUCUGCGGGAUACUGCAGGAAGGAAGAUUACAAUAAAAUAAGACCCUUGAGGCUUGAGCUAUCAUGGGCAGAUGUAUCUAGAAUUUCAGACAGAAAGAUUUCUCGCUAGCAAGCACAAUUACAAAAAUGUCUCCAAAAAAAGCGGAUUCCUAAAUUGAGACAUUAUGUUCCCGGAGUACCAAUUAUACUUAUUCGAACAAAGCUAGGUGAUAUAUUGUGAUGUUCAGAGAUAUAGCAUGUGAAAGUUCAUGUGAUCAAGAGUUGGGAGAAUCUGUCCGAUGUAAUUUAUUAUCGAGCUUAUAGCUACUUGAUAAAAUAACUAAUUAGAUGCGAAAUAUUAUUGGAUUCAAAUAAUUUAGCAUUUUUAUGUUGUUUGCACUCUCAAAUUAUGGAUUUAAUGAAGUGCAUUGAGCUGUUUGAAGUGAAUUAAUAUUAUUA